rnacentral:rRNA from 1 species
CCUACGUGGGGCAGCAGUGAGGAAUAUUUGUCAAUGGGCGGAAGCCUGAACCAGCCAAGUCGCGUGCAGGAUGACGGCCCUACGGGUUGUAAACUGCUUUUAUACGGGAAUAACGCGCCUUACGUGUACGGCUUUGCAUGUACCGUAUUAAUAAGGACCGGCGAAUUCCGUUCCAGCAGCCGCGGUAAUACGGAAGGUCCGUGCGUUGUCCGGAUUUAUUGGGUUUAAAGGGAGCGUAGGGUGCAUGUCAAGCGUGCUGUGAAAGGUCCGGGCUCAACCCGUGCCUUGCAGCGCGAACUGGCGUGCUAGAGUACGCGGGAGGCAGGCGGAAUUCGUGGUGUAGCGGUGAAAUGCUUAGAUAUGGCGAAGAACCCCGAUUGCGAAGGCAGCUUGCUGCAGCGGAACUGACGCUGAUGCUCGAAGGCGAGGGUAUCGAACAGGAUUAGAUACCCGUGUAGUC